rnacentral:rRNA from 1 species
GACGAACGCUGGCGGUGUGCUUAACACAUGCAAGUGGUGCGACGAACCAGAGCUUGCUCUGGGGCAAAGCCGCGAACGGGUGAGUAACACGUGGGUAAUCUACCCCGAUGACCGGGACAACCCGAGGAAACUCGGGCUAAUACCGGAUGUGGUACGGAGACAUAAGUCUCUUUACUAAAGGUAGCUUCGGCUUCCGCAUUGGGAGGGGCCCGCGGCCCAUUAGCUAGUUGGUGGGGUCAAGGCCUACCAAGGCAACGAUGGGUAGCUGGUCUGAGAGGACGAUCAGCCACACUGGGACUGAGACACGGCCCAGACUCCUACGGGUGGCAGCAGGGAGGAGUAUUUGACAAUGGGCGAAAGCCUGAUCGAGCAACGCCGCGUGAGGGAUGAAGGUAUUCGUACUGUAAACCUCUUUUCAGGGAGACGAGAAAGGACGGUAUCCCUGGAAUCAGUCACGGCUAACUACGUG